rnacentral:lncRNA from 1 species
AUGUGCAUAAAUAAAGGCUGUGGCGUGGUGGCUGGAGCAGCCAUGCUAUGGAAAUUUUGCAAUGGUCCAGGACUAGUGCUCCAGUUCAUGGACCCUAGGUCCUGUUGGCACCUGGGUGACAGUAUUGGAAAUGAGAGGAAAGUUAUGGUCUCAGAGGAACAGCUAUGGGAACUCUUGCGUCUGGGCCUGCAGAGCCCCUGCUCAGCUAGCAGUGGGAGGGAGGGAAGAAGCAGCAUUGCUAACCACGAUGACGUUGUGAUGUUUAAGAAAUAUAUUUCAAGAGGACCCCAUCUGAGAACACGGCGUGGACAGCUGAGGUUUAUGGAGUUGAGGACACCAACAAUAAAACAGGUUAAGUCAUCCUUUGCAGAACAAGUUUACAGACUCCUGAUCUACAUGAUGAUUACAGAGACCUGGACUAAUUAAGGAGUUAGCAAUAAGAGAGAAAGAAGAACCAGUUAUGAAGACACUGAAGAAUUUUUACUUCAAGUUCCUGAUAAAUGCUUAAGGGGUUGUUAAAGCACAAGUCUACCUCAGGUAUUACAUUAAAUUUGAGUAGUUUUGCCACUGUGAGCGGCAGGUACGAUACCACCCUCUUGCCUCAGAAAAGAAAAGAAAAAGGAAAAGAAGAGCCUAUUCUGAUGUCCUGAUUUGUUACAAAAUAACUAAUCUACUAUCUUUGAAAAAAAAUGCCCAUAUUUUGUCUCAAGUUUUAUGAUUUGGGGAAACAAACAAGGUACCCAGUGAACUCAAUGGCUGGGAAAGUGGAAUAAUUCAAGAUAGUGUAGACAGAAGAAAUGUUUUAGACAUUUGCUGAAGUACAGCUUCAACCAAAGUGGAAAAACUGCAGAAUUCUGAGAAACUAAGAGCAAUGGACAUGUGUGAAUUCUGAAGAGGAAAAAUAAAUCUUUAUAGAAAGAUAAAUAAAUAGAUAAU